GACAGAGGGUGCAAACGUUGCUCGGAAUUACUGGGCGUAAAGCGCGUGUAGGUGGAUUGGUGUGUCAGAUGUGAAAUCCCUGGGCUCAACCCAGGAACUGCACCUGAAACUACCAGUCUUGAGUGGUGGAGAGGGAAGUGGAAUUCCCGGUGUAGCGGUGAAAUGCGCAGAUAUCGGGAGGAACACCAGUAGCGAAGGCGGCUCGCUGGGCCACACCUGACGCUGAGACGCGAAAGCUAGGGGAGCGAACAGG
rnacentral:rRNA from 1 species